rnacentral:misc_RNA from 1 species
AACGCACAUUGCGCCCGCCAGAAUUCUGGCGGGCAUGCCUGUUCGAGCGUCAUUUCAACCCUCGAGCUCCCCUCUUUUUGGGAGAGCCCGGCGUUGGGGACCCGGCGCUAACACCGCCGGCCCCGAAAUGGAGUGGCGGCCCGUCCGCGGCGACCUCUGCGUAGUAAUAUCCACUCGCACCGGGACCCGGGCGCGGCCACGCCGUUAAACACCCCACCUUCCGAAUGUUGACCUCGAAUCAGGUAGGAAUACCCGCUGAACUUAA